CACACACUUAGACACACACUUGGAACCUCUUUCAACAAUACUAACAGUCAGUGGAUCCUGCACUGGCUACAGCCUUGCUUGGGUCCCUGGACACCACCAGAUGCCAGAAAUGGGUGAAGCAUGUGGAAUCCUUGGAUUUCACACAUUCAAUCUGCUGAGCCUAGAAACUUCUGAGGAAACUAAGAGCAACUAACCCUGCAGAAACUAUGAAUCUGCAGGUCAAACUGGACGCUGUCACUGCAAAGCUGGUCACAAACUGGAAGGGACUACUUUACAAGCAUUACAAGCAGAACAUCAGGCAGCAACUGAAGGACUCAAUGACCAACUGCCCAGAAUCCUCCAAACUGAGGGCUGGUCUGACUGCAGCAAAAAGAAGGAAGGCUGUAGGGAAGGAUGGAAUCCCUCCAGACUUCUUCCACCAUCUCAGACUGAUGGCUCAAAAGUGAAUUCUGCACCUAUAUUCAAACAUGAUGGAGAUCAGCCAAAUCCCUUGAAUCUGGCAUGAAGCAAUGAUUACUGCUCUCCUGAAACUGGGGAAGCCAGCCAGUGAUACUGGGAGCUACAGGCCAAUAUCAUUGCUUUGUAAAACUUACAAAUUAGUGGAGCAGCUCAUCCCCCAAAGGAUUAGCCUGAUUGCCAAGGUGUCCAUCCCCCAAGAACAAGCCAGUUUUAUGCUACACCAAAGCUGCUGUGACCAACUGCUUGCCCUCACCAUGAAUAAUGAAGAUGGCUCCCAUCGCAACGUUAAGAUCAGUGCCUUCUUCCAUGCAUCAGACUGCUCUGCCUUUUGUGAACAUUUCUGGGCAAUGCAUGGAUGCAUGUCUACCUCUGAGAUAAAGUGAGCAAACCAAGGAAUCCAAAUAACAGCCUCCUGCAGCGAAUUUUCUUGACACAACUCUCUUCAACAUUUAUAUAAGCAAUAUGCCUGCUACUUCUUUGAGGAAAUUUCCAUAUGCUGAUGACCUGGCACUAACCACAGGCAAGGACCUUCAAAGAGAUUGAAGACAUGUUGAUGUUAGACCUGUCUAUAAUGGCAGAAUAUUUCAUCAAGUGAAGGCUGCAACCAAAUCUAACUAAGUCCAUCAUUGCAGCAUUUCAAUUCAACAAUCACAAAGCACAUUUUUAUCUCAAUGUCACUUUUUGAGAAAGAAAAUUAUGACAUAAUCCAACUCUGUCCUACCUAGAUGUGACACUUGGCCAUACCCUAAUCUUUUGUAAUCAUCUUCAAAAAAUAGCUGCAAAGGUUAAGAGUUGGGUGAACAUGAUGCAAAACUCACCAAAAUGAGCUGGGGUGUCACUGCAGAAGUACUCCAUACCCCUGCUAUGGCACUAGUCUUCUUAACAGCCAAGUACUGUGCAUCUGUUUGGGCUGCUAGCACUCACGCCAAAUGUGUGAAUGUUCAGUUAAAUUCUGCAAUCUACACCAAUUCAAUCUUUACUGGUGCUAGCCAAUGUUGCAUCUCCAGACAUUUGCCACAACAAAUCUCCAUACAGAGAGGUCAUCCACAUGAAUGACAACCCAGACCUCCUCAUUCAUAGAGAUUUAAAGAACCUCCCAUAUCACCACCUGGUCUCUUGGAGACCUUUGUGGACACAUGUACAAGCCUUUGUAGGAAACAACAGUGCAGCAUCUUGGAGGAAAGUGUGGAAUUAAACCACUAUUCAGAAUAAACAUCUAAUUUCCAACUCAACAAUAAAGUCUCCUGGUUUUGACCUUCCACAAAAAACAUGUAAGGUUCUAUAUCAGAUCCGAAACAGGCAUGGCCACUGUGGUCACUUAAUGCACAAAUGGAGUACUAGGAGUUCUGCAGAAUGUGGCUGUGGCAACCCUGAUCAAACUAUGGACAAUAUUCUGCUCUCUAAACAAAUUUGACAGUGACACUGCAGAGAUACAUUCCCUUCCUCAAGAGCAUUAAACUGGUUAAGUAACCUUAAACUGGAUUUAAAACUGUUGCUCCAAGUCAGCCAUAUGAAAGAAGAAGACAUGCUUGGGAUGUGCAAGACUUGGAUAAAAUCCUCUUUGUUCCACCUAACUUGAAGCAUGAACUUAGACACAUAUCCUCCAUAUCCAGAGUGAGUGCCCUAAUCUCCAGACUGUUGAGAUGUUUCCCUUUCAUGCCUGUUUACUUGGGGCCAGCAGGUGGUUAUGUAACAAAAUACCUAACCACAGGAUAUUGAGGAGCAGCAAAUGAUUGACUGUGUUAAUCAGGCCCACACACCUGGAGGGAAGGCAUCACAGGAGGCAGUCGAUGCAGAAGAAUGGAAGACAGACACCUCCAGAUCUAGAUGUCACAGAACUAGACGUUACACUACUGGAACAACUCCCCCAGUGCAUCUGGGAAACAGGUAUGAUGCCCUAGUAUCACUGGGAGAGAGUACAGCAAUGGAGGGCAUGUCCACAGCUACUACCAGACAGGCUAAGAGGCAACCGGGCAGCCAGAAGAGAAGACAUCAAGUCAUCAUAGUAGGAGACUCCCUCCUGAGAGGAAUGGAGGGAGCCAUCUGCUGCCCGGAUCCUACAGUACAGGAGAUAAAUUGCCUGCCCAAAGCUAGGAUUUGGGACAUCAUAGCAAGUCUUCCAGACCUAAUCAAGCCUACUGACUACUACCCCAUGAUCCUUAUCCAUGUUGGAAUGAAUGAUGUGGUCCGAAGUAGUACAGGAUGGGUCAUGGCUGACUACAUGGCUCUGGGAGACAGGCUUAGAAGCUCAGGGGCAUAAGUAGUCUUCUCAUCAGUCCUCCCAGUCAGCAGAUGCAGCCAGCACCAUGGCAACUGCAUUGAGGAGGUCAACUCAUGGCUUCAGAGCUGGUGCCACCAUGUGGGGUUCGGCUUUCUAGACCAUGAUCUGUACUUGCAGGAUAGUACCUUGCUGGGACGGGAUGGGGUAUAUCUCUCUCCAAAAGGUAAAAGUCUGCUCUCUUACAGGUUGGCAUACUUCCUACAUAGAGCUUUUAACUAGCUUUGUCAGGGGACGGGGAUGCUGAAUUCAGGACAAGAUCGGGAAGGACAAACCAUGAAAUGCACACUGGAAAUGAUAAGUACUAAGGGACACACUAAGAAUCAGGAUAGGGGAAUACUAAGGCCACCUAUCAGGGGGCUUAGGUGUCUCUAUACUAAUGCCAGAAGUAUGGGAAACAAACAGGAGGAACUUGCACUCCUGCUUGCAGACAAGGAUCUCGACCUGGUUGGUCUAACAGAAAGCUGGUGAGACCCUACCCAUGACUGGGCAGUACGCAUUGAGGGCUACAGGCUAUACAGGCAGGAUAGAUUGGGGAAAAAGGUGAGGUGCAUUGCUCUGUAUGUUAGGGAACAUUAUACAUCUUCUGUAAUAAAGAUGGGGAAAGAAGAAGGGCAAAUCAAAGUCCUAUGGGUCAGAUUACAAGGGGUUAGGGGUGAAAGGGACUUGGUAGUAGGGGUCUAUUACAGACCGCCGCACCAGGAGGAAGAGUUAGACCUAGAAUUCUAGAAACAACUUUCAAAGGCAGUAUAUUCAAAAGAUCUAGUUGUGAUGGGUGACCUAAAUUAUCCAGACAUCUGCUGGGAGCAGCAGUUGGCCAGGUCUGCCCAUUCAUGUAGUUUCUUAACAUAUAUACAGGGCCUGCAUCUAACACAUGUAUGCAGUCCCACUAGGGGAGAUACCUUACUUUACUUGGAGCUGGCCACAGGGGAAGACUUGGUGGGGGGUCUACAGGUACAAGGUAACCUAGGGGAUAGUGACCACCAGCUGACAGGAUUCACUAUACAGCGUAAGGUGGGAAGGACAACUAGUAGGGCAGCAGUGCUAGAUUUCUGGAGGGCCAACUUAAACUGUAGCAAAACCCCCAGCUUUUCUUUUUUUUUCCUUUUAAAAUGCAUUCCCUCCCCCUCCCCAACCAUUUCUGACUUUUCCUAUCCCUCUCUAUUCCCUAUAGAUAAGUAUAAGUAAGCUAAGAUGUAGGAUAAGUUUUAACAUUUUAUUUUAGGUAAUAAGUUUUAUUUCUCUCCCCUCUUUGCAAAUAAGUCCCCUGCUAUUUUGAUAUAGAUAUCCACUGUUUUAUAAGGGAUAAUUAUUAUGUUUGUAUUGAUUUUUUUACUGCUUUUAUAUUGUGUGAUUACUGUUUUAGGCCUAUAUAUGUAAGUUAGCAUAAGUCAUGUCAAGCCUCCAUCUUAUGCCUGGUUGCAUAACCUAUGACUCAUACUAUCCCUCCUAUGUAACUUGGUUCCUGACUGAAUGGGGAUGAAUGAGGGUGCUUGAGAGUGGCAGUAGGUCUAAUAAUAGCUCCUUCUGAAUGACCAAACUAUCAACACCAAUACCUGGACCAAUGACCCAGCCCUUGGAACCACCCUCAGCAUUCAAGAAACAAAAGAUGAGGCACAUGCUCAGUAAGAACAUCUGGAACCCUCUGUAACAGGACUGAACUUGCCUGGACAGGCCCUCCCAUAGGAGAUCAUAGGUAGUCUACCCCAUAAAAAGGAGUAGUGAAGACUGACUCCUUGGGAAUGCUAUUUUCAUUUGGACCAGACGAGUUCCAUGUCACACUGCCUGUCCACCCCAGAGGCCCUUCCAGCGACCCCCCUCUGGACAACAUUGAGCUGAAGGAGACCCCAACUGGCCAUCGAGGACCCAGUUUCAGCCUGGGAUAGGUAAAUAUCACCUGCAUAUUUCCUCCUCCAAUUUGGACUCUAUCUCUCCUCCCAGACUUCAGCCCCUGCACCAAGCCUCUUUAACCCCUGCUGCCAUUGUCUGUGUGUGUGUGUGUGUGCAAAGGAACCAAUAAAAUAUUGUGUCACCAUCUCCCCUUUUAAAUAAAACCACUGUCAU